CUUCUCUCCAGCCACCAGGCAAGUUUGUGCUGGGAAUCACAAACCAGAGGAUGCAGGAUCCUUUGGCAGCAUGGGCUUGAACCCAGCAAUCACCCCAUUUUUCCUCCUGAUCAAUGUCCUGGUGGUCCUCCUUCUAGCAGCAUGGCCAGACCUCACACAAACCUGGUGAUAAGCAGUGAAGGGUCAGGACCGUACCCUGUGCAUGUCCAUUGCCCAAGCCCUCACUGCCUUUGGCUGUGAUCGGUGCUAGAUGCUCCCAGCAAUGGCAGAAACAAGGAGCCCACAUUCUCCUCCAGAGUGAGACUUGUUCCACUUGUGCUUUGCACAAAUCUCUGGCAGACUUGGCAAAAAAGCACAAGCAAAACAAGUAAGUACAUCCUGGGUAAGUCCCAUAUCUCUCUUCUGCAGGGCUACAAGUUUGCUCCUUUGUGGGAGAAGGUCAAGCCUGCCAAUUCGCCCAACUAAAACACAAGGCGUUGCCCCCACAGAGCAUGCAGAAGUCCCUUGACACUGAAUCAUCUUGUUGUUUCCGAAACCAAGCUGUGGGGUGGUGGCAGGGGAGGAGCUGGAUGCAAAAAUGUGGCCUUUCUUGAUCAACUCUCCUGCUGUCCAAGUUGCCUGUCCCAUCUCUGUCAGACAGGCCAUUUGGUUUUGCUGGCUCUCCAGCGCUGCCAGGAGUCCUUGGCCAGCCAUGGGACUCCUCAGGGCCACAGCUCCCCUCCUCAGCUGCAGGCCUGCAGUGCCUGCAUCUCGCAGUCCAGCUUCUCUUUCCCUUUGGCUCUGGGCUGUAACCCAGACUGCACCCCUACUGUGUAGCUUUAAACCCAGCUGCUUUCCUGGCUGAUGGAGAACUCACCUUAACCCACUUGGUACUCUGGGGUGUACUGAAUGCCCCAGGGCUCUCACUUGCUGAUGGAACUGCUGGGAGGGGGCUCCGCUCCAAAACUGCCUUGCAGCUUGCAGAGAGCCAGCUCUCCUGUUCAUGAGAGGCUGGAGAGAUCCUCUUCUUUGAGCUUUACCUCAAAAAGGAAAGUCCCCACUGAGCCUUGUCUGCAGGAGGUUGCUUUGACUAAGGAAAAGGAUCCUUUGUCAUUUGAGUAGGGGCUUAUAAAUAGACCAGGGCUGGUUGUGAAACAGCCCACUCUGCUUGAGUCACUUGGUAAAUACUGAUUGUAACACAGUGGUUGUGUAAGGCACCUCUGAGUGUCAUGGAGUGUGCUGAUAGACAGCAUCAUCCACCACCCUGAAUGGGCUGGGGACUGAUCAUCUUUAACUCCAGGUGCUGCAAGCUGAGCUGGCCUUGUCUGCAAAGUGGUGUGGCAACAGCUGCCUGGGCUUUCCUGGCAUCAGCUCAGCUCAGAGGUGGCCAGAUAGGAAGGGGCAGACAAAGUUCAGUCCGUUGUGCAUGUAAGCAGGUGGGGGCCAGAUGAAUGUUGCUCACCCGGCCACUUUGGGGCUACCUUGGGCGUUUGGAAACCUUUGGAAAUGGUGCAGGGGGAGAAGAUGUCCUGGACUUGAGGUGCUGCUCUCCAGCACUGUGACUGCCAAGUUUCCAUGAGGUCAAAGUGAAGAGGAGGCGAGGCCAGGCUCAGGCCACAAGUCCUUCCUCUCCUCAGCACUGCAUUGAGCUACCCAUCCUUCUCCUAGAAAGCCCAGUCACCACAGGGCUCUCAUCACCUCUGGAUCAUACAUCUAGCCUGGGCCACCAGCAGCAACAUGUCCUGGUGGUUUCUAAAUAAUUAUUUGCAGCCUGCUGCAUUAAUGUACAUUAACGCGUGUGCAUUGAUUUGCAUAGGGAACACGUGCUUCAACUUUCAUGUUUCAUCUUCACAGCUGUUUCUAUUUCUGAUAAUCUCCAGGUUCCUGAGGCGUUUCCCCGUAGGACACAGUAUCUUCUACCUGCUGGCAGCUCAGGGUGCCCCAGCACGCAGGAUGUGAUGCCUGAUGGUUUUGUCUCCCCUCUACCUUUGUUCCGGAAGGGGAACAGUUCCUGCUUCUCAAGGCUGUGAGAUGGCUUUCAGAAGAAGGUCACAACCCUGGGGGUCCUAGAGGGCUCUGCAGGUCUCCACA